rnacentral:lncRNA from 1 species
GUCCCUCAAAUUACCACUUCUCACUUUGAACAAAAUUCUUUUUUGCUUCCUUUCUUUCUUUAGCGUCUUCAGUUGUGCUGUUAUGGCUGCCAUAAUGUCCUGAAUCAAUUGAAAAGAUUUAUCAUUCAUGGUCAUUUUCACUUUGGAGAAGAGACAGAAAUUGCACAGUUCCAGAUCCAAUUAAUAAGGCUCAGAAGAACAUGGAUCUAGAUUCACUACAAG